CCAGGCACCUGGUGGCCGUCGGCAAGGUGUGGCCUGAUCCCCACUCACCUGGGAGGCAACGGAAAUUACUUGAAGCAAAUGAAAAAAAAAGAAGAAAACAAAAACGAGGGUGACACUUGGAUGGAUGGUGACGGGUCUGCUGGGACUCUGAGCCCCGUCGCAGAAGGAAUCGGCUCCCGUCUUCCUGCUGGAAGGGCACCCUGGGACAGACGCCCAGAGACUGCCAGGCUCUGCGCCGCGGACAGGCGAGCAAACAGUGGAGUCCAUUUCAGAUUCUGCGGGGGUCAACCUCGUCAUCUCACAUCGGGCCCAGGAAAGGGACCAGGUGCCGAGCGGGUUCCAGCUUCUCUUGGAAUCAAGUUUGCUUUCAAGCCCGCAUCCUCGUGUCAGAAUAUUCGAGUUGUGCUUCACUUCACGGCAGAGAACCCGGAUCCCCGUUGCUGUUGGAAACGCAACAUCAGUAGUCGGACACGCUGGCCCACACGGAAGCACGUCCAGACACAACCCUGGCUCCGGUCAGCUCAAGAGUGGACCCCUGAAGCUCACUGAAGCAGUGCCCCCUGGUGGCCAGUGAAAGAACUGCAUCAUCGUCGCCCCGAGACCAGCCUGUGAAUUUCAGUGGUUCUGUUCAAAGCACGGCGCCCUCGAGCGGAGGGCUCGGCCGGUGGUCACCGCUGGAGAACAGAUACAGAUGCUGACAACUGACGAGCCUGGGUCCCCCUGCCGCCCCGGCCCCCUGCUCUGGGGUCGCCUCUGUGGAAGGAGGCAGGAGACAGAUAUCGGACCCUCUGGUGCUGAUGCUGACCUCCCCCGGGACCACCCGCUCGGCCGGUGCCCCCACGGGCCGCGUGGCUGCCUGCCCGCCCGUCCCCAGUCUCGAGGCUGGGUUUGCGUCGUGGGUCCGAGAGCAGCUAGUGCCUUGUCCAAGACCAAGCUCGCAAGGAGCAUGACACGCGCCCGUUUCCCAGCGUGGGCACGAUGCUGAGAGCGAACAGAAGCGAGUGCCGCUCCCGUGGAUUCUGGGCUGGCCGCGUGUGAGCACGCGUGAGGGAUCCCGUGUCUGUGGCCGUGAGCGUAUUGUAUUGCCGACCUCCCGUUAGUCCGUAGCCCCCUUGGAAAGGCCACAGGAGAGCGGGUGCCGCCGCCCGCCCGCCCGCCGCCGCCGCGUCUCUGUCCUCUGUGCGUGCCCGAGUCCUGCCUGCGUGCGUGUAUCUGCUGCCGCCCGGCGUCGUCCGGGAAGUCUCCACAUAGGUGUUAGGUACUUGGACGUUCUCCGUAGCCUUUGUAAGUAGGAUGUUAGUAAGAUGUUAGCAGUAUUCUCUAGCGGCAAAGUGCCAGAAAGGAGAUGUCGACUCCAGACGAAGAACACUAUGUAUCGUGUUAGAUAUGUUACAAGGUAAAAGUUACUCACGGAAGGGUCAAGAGUAGCCCACGUGUGUUGUAUCCACUAGUAGUUCCUGUAGAUGAUGAAAUGUAAUAGUUACUCAUUGCCUGAGCCAGCUGCAGACUCCGCAUUUGUUUCGUGAACUAGAAGUUUCUCUGCCCUGGCCGGAGAGGGUGUGCAGCACGUCGGGCCCCCUCUCGAUGGUGGCCAGUCAGGGUCAGUUCCCGGCACCCGUAUGUCCCCACAAACACCGCCAGAAGUGACCCUUGAGCGCAGAGCCAAGAGUGACCCCUGGAAACCACCAGAUGUGGUCCAAGAUCCCCAGAUAAAUAAAUAACCCUCACAGAUUAAUAAAUGCCUAAUGAUUAGAAAUAAAUUCGAAGCUACAAAUCAAUGGAGUGGAUUUUCAGUCUCCACCAAUUUCUGUCCUUGGCUUAGACACAUAAAUUGAUGUCCCCACCCCACAUUGUCAUCCUGCUUUCAUGACAGAAGUGAAAGAAAGCAAGCACUGGCCAAAUGCAUUCUUCUGCUGGCUCAUCUAAUGAGAGGUAUUCAUAGUAGUAUUAUACGUAUAAUCACCACAUAAUAUAUAGUUAUCAAUAAAGUGAAAUGGGCCGUUGUGCAAUAAUCCAUAUAUCCAUGUCGCGAGGUUGAUGGUCUGUAGCGCGAGAGCGUGGCUGUGUGCGGGGCUGGCGUGGGCUGCCCUGACGUCCAGCCCGGCUGUGUUCCUCAGAUGUUGUAACGCUUGUCCUUGUUUCUGUUCUGCGUGGCUCUGUAUGUACUGUUGUGAAUGUGAAUGGUUACCAGCACUAUUACGGAAAUAUAAAGGAGAACGUGUGAAGCAUUGUGCAACUAUGAACCUAUGUGGAGAGACAACGUAUAUUCUAAAUAAAAAUAUAAAACACUGA